UCCACCGGAUCCCUUCUGAGGGCGGCCCCUUCUGAGGGUAGUAGCAGUAGCUUUGGGGUGGGGGCCCUCACCCUGAGUAGCUGUAGGGAUUCAGGGAUGGACUUCCGGUCUGGGGAAAAGGGAAGAGUCCGGCCACAGGCGGAAGUGUGCUCCUACUCCAGGAAAUCUCCUGCCAUGCUCCUCGGGAUCCAGGGCAAUGUUACACGGUCUGCGGUGGACCAAGCUCCCUGACUUUAUGAAAAAACCAGGAGGCAGAGCAGAGGUGUCCCCGCCGUGAGGUUGGGGAGACCCGCAGAGAACAGAAGGUGCGCCGCCUCCUUGCACCCCUUGAGCUGGUCAAGCAUUACAUGCUCAGCCAACAUUUCCUGAGCACCUACUGUGUGCCAGGCUGGGGAUUCAGAGGGAAAUCAGACCCUGCCUUAUUCUCAAGGGGACCUGGACCUGAAAGAACUAACAACGAUCCAGGGUGGCUGGGAGAGCUGCACAGCUCAGGCUGAAGGUGUCAAUUCUGGGGAAGUCAGGGGAGGCUUCCUGGAGGAGGUGGCAGGGCAGCAGUGAAGACUUCCCAGAGGAAGCAACGUUUGCUGGGUCUUACAAGACAAACAAGGGUUGCGUCUGUCUUCCUGUUCACACCGACAGGCUGGUUGUCAGCUGCCGCGGCAUCUGUUCUUGUCAGAAAAAUUAAGAAGGAAGUGAAAGAAGCUGCAGCGCUGGAACUGCCGAAUGGACAGAGAAUCUGGGCCUGGCCCCUCCUGGGAAAGUGUCCCGCAGGGGGACCUAGGGGAUCCGAGUCCGGAGCAGACCCAGGAAUCACUUCUCUGAGCAGGGGACUCAGCUCCUGGGUGUGAUGGAGCCUGAGGAGGGUGGGCCUCCGAUGGAGCCGGCAGGAGAGGUCUCCAUUCAUUCAUUGAUUCCAGGCUCCUGAUCCUUGCCCUUGGAAAGUUCCAAUCAGGUUUGGGUAUCAGACACAGAAACACAGAAAUAUUAUAAGGGGGAGGACUGAAGGCACCUCCCCGGGUCUCUUCCUCAUUCUCUCCAUGGCCCCACUGCCAGGAUACCACUGAGGAAAGGACGGCUGUGAUCACCCAGGCCCGAGAUGGCCGGGAGCAGAGAGGGGGCUGGGGCAUAGCAGGAGGGCGCAGAGCUGAGGGUUUGGGGACCUCUCUCCAGGACCCUAUCCUCCGGUUUCCCCCAACCCCUCAGCUGGCUGGGAGAAGCGGGCCGCGGAGGCAGCUGGCGCGGCCGGCGCUGUCCAGCAGGGGGCAGCCGCGGUGCGCGAAUGGGCACGCCCACCCCCGCGAAGCCGCUGCCUGCGCCGCCCGGACUUAGACAAGG